rnacentral:rRNA from 1 species
CCUACGGGAGGCAGCAGUAGGGAAUCUUCGGCAAUGGGGGCAACCCUGACCGAGCAACGCCGCGUGAGUGAAGAAGGUUUUCGGAUCGUAAAGCUCUGUUGUAAGUCAAGAACGGGUGUGAGAGUGGAAAGUUCACACUGUGACGGUAGCUUACCAGAAAGGGACGGCUAACUACGUGCC